rnacentral:misc_RNA from 1 species
UGUGGGAGCGGGCUUGCUCGCGAAAUCGGUGGGUCAGUCAAAGCAUCUUGCACUGACACACCGAUUUCGCGAGCAAGCCCGCUCCCACA